UCCUCAUGCCAAUUUGAAAUUAGCAUGAGGAUUUGCACACCUUUUAAAGUCUAGUCGAUCGCCCCCCUCUCUCCCCUCUUGAUAAGGAUCAAGUGGUUGGUUGGUUGAAUUAAAAUUUGAUUUGAAUUCAAAUUGAAAUUUGAAUUGGAGAUUGGAUAAGAAUUUGUUCUCAUCCAAACCAAUCUUGUCACCUUCUUCUU
rnacentral:lncRNA from 1 species